UCUCCAGCCCACACAUGGUGGGAGGAAUGGCAGUCACCCAUGCCCUCUGCAGUGGCUGGUUUCCAGGAAUGCCCUGGGGACCUGGCCUGACAAAUGCCUUUCCACCAGGGCAAGUUGUGCCACCCCUCCCCCCUUCCAGUCUGAGCACCCUGAUUCUUCUAGGUCAGCUCACUAGCAUCCCCUCAUGCCGGGAACUCAGGGACUUGGAGUUUUCACCCCUGGUUCCAACAAACUCUGCCUCUGGUCUUUGAGCAGACAGCUCUGAUCCCUGGGCUGUGAUAAUGGUUUGAGCAAACCUACGAGGAUGAAAGCUACAAAGGGUCUUACAUCCAGAGUCCUCAGUGCGCCAGGUGUGGUUCCUGACCCCCAGCUGGAAGAUGAAGAGAAAAGUGCCAGUCUCGCACCCUUAUGGAUGAAUCUGGUAUUCUGGUCUCCAUCUGUCUGCCCCUUCUGCUACAGGAGUGCCCCUGACAAGGAAGCCUGAGUACUAAAAAUAUGUGGACAAAUGAGAGAAUUCUAACAGUUCAAGAUCAGCAUCUGCAAAAUGUGCAUCCUUCCAGCACCUUCACAGACAGCCUCAUGAGGUUAGGUGGUUGGAACAUGGGCUUCUGUGACUAAGACUUUUGGGGUCCCAAAGGUAUUUCAUACUCUCCCCAACCUUGAACACAAACCAGUGGGGAUAUGUCAUUUCAACCACAACUUUCUUCUUGAAAGGGUAGACCCUGUUAAAAACCUAGUGGGUUUCUGGAUAUAGAAAGGUCAUCUUGGUGAGGAAUUUAGGAAAAAGGCACUGGGAAGACUCAAAUUGCUCAGCACAGUAGAGAAGAAGCUGGCUUCUCAGGCAAUCAAGGAAGGAAGGGUGAGGUAGAGGGAUGGGAAGGGAGUAGCAGGCAGAGGCUAGAUUAGAUAGCGGUGGGCUAGGGAGCUGUGUGGGGCUGUGUGGCCACUGAGAAACCCUGGGGUGGUGAGAGAGCCAAAAUAACUCCUCAGAACAUUUCAGAAAUGUGAUUUAAAAUUGUUUGCUAUGUGAUGUAACCUCUCCCCUGUGACCCACAAACCUUUAUUAAAAGUUCUGCUACAUGUUA